rfam:Tupaia chinensis contig54769, whole genome shotgun sequence.
UAGCCCCGGCGGCCCCGGACACGUGGAGGCCAGGUGGGGAGGCGGGAGGGGCCGGGCCGGGGCCGCUGUCCGUGCCAGCCCGGACUUGUACA